UACGGAGGGUGCGAGCGUUGUCCGGAAUCAUUGGGCGUAAAGGGCGCGUAGGUGGCGGGACAAGCGUGCGGUGAAAGCUCGGGGCUCAACCCCGAGUCGGCCGGUGCGAACCUGUUUUGCUUGAGCACUGUAGAGGCAGGCGGAAUUCCGGGUGUAGCGGUGGAAUGCGUAGAGAUCCGGAAGAACACCGGUGGCGAAGGCGGC
rnacentral:rRNA from 1 species